AGUCACAUUGGUGUUUAAGAUCCCAGUGUAGAAAGAUACAGAGAAGAUUAGCAUGGCCCUUGCACAAGGAUGACACGCAAAUUCGUGAAGCGUUCCAUAUUUUU